rnacentral:rRNA from 1 species
AGAGUUUGAUCCUGGCUCAGGACGAACGCUGGCGGCACGCUUAACACAUGCAAGUCGAACGAGAGAAGAGGAGCUUGCUUUUCUGAUCUAGUGGCGGACGGGUGAGUAACACGUGAGCAAUCUGCCUUUCAGAGGGGGAUACCGAUUGGAAACGAUCGUUAAUACCGCAUAACAUAAUUGAACCGCAUGAUUUGAUUAUCAAAGAUUUAUCGCUGAAAGAUGAGCUCGCGUCUGAUUAGCUAGUUGGUAAGGUAACGGCUUACCAAGGCGACGAUCAGUAGCCGGACUGAGAGGUUGAUCGGCCACAUUGGGACUGAGACACGGCCCAGACUCCUACGGGAGGCAGCAGUGGGGAAUAUUGCACAAUGGAGGAAACUCUGAUGCAGCGAUGCCGCGUGAGGGAAGAAGGUUUUAGGAUUGUAAACCUCUGUCUUCAGGGACGAAAAAAGACGGUACCUGAGGAGGAAGCUCCGGCUAACUACGUGCCAGCAGCCGCGGUAAUACGUAGGGAGCGAGCGUUGUCCGGAAUUACUGGGUGUAAAGGGAGCGUAGGCGGGAUCGCAAGUCAGAUGUGAAAACUAUGGGCUUAACCCAUAAACUGCAUUUGAAACUGUGGUUCUUGAGUGAAGUAGAGGUAAGCGGAAUUCCUAGUGUAGCGGUGAAAUGCGUAGAUAUUAGGAGGAACAUCAGUGGCGAAGGCGGCUUACUGGGCUUUAACUGACGCUGAGGCUCGAAAGCGUGGGGAGCAAACAGGAUUAGAUACCCUGGUGGUCCACGCCGUAAACGAUGAUUACUAGGUGUGGGGGGACUGACCCCUUCCGUGCCGCAGCAAACGCAAUAAGUAAUCCACCUGGGGAGUACGACCGCAAGGUUGAAACUCAAAGGAAUUGACGGGGGCCCGCACAAGCAGUGGAGUAUGUGGAUUAAUUCGAAGCAACGCGAAGAACCUUACCAGGUCUUGACAUCGUAUGCAUAGCUCAGAGAUGAGUGAAAUCUCUUCGGAGACAUAUAGACAGGUGGUGCAUGGUUGUCGUCAGCUCGUGUCGUGAGAUGUUGGGUUAAGUCCCGCAACGAGCGCAACCCUUACUGUUAGUUGCUACGCAAGAGCACUCUAGCAGGACUGCCGUUGACAAAACGGAGGAAGGUGGGGAUGACGUCAAAUCAUCAUGCCCCUUAUGACCUGGGCCUCACACGUACUACAAUGGCUGUCAACAGAGGGAAGCAAAGCCGCGAGGUGGAGCGAACCCCUAAAAGCAGUCUUAGUUCGGAUUGUAGGCUGCAACCCGCCUACAUGAAGUCGGAAUUGCUAGUAAUCGCAGAUCAGCAUGCUGCGGUGAAUACGUUCCCGGGCCUUGUACACACCGCCCGUCACGCCAUGGGAGUCGGUAACACCCGAAGCCUGUAGUCUAACCGCAAGGAGGACGCAGUCGAAGGUGGGAUUGAUGACUGGGGUGAAGUCGUAACAAGGUA